UACGGGGGGUGCGAGCGUUGUCCGGAAUCACUGGGCGUAAAGGGCGCGUAGGUGGUUUGAUAAGGGUGUGGUGAAAGUCCGGGGCUCAACCCCGGAUCUGCCGUGCCGACUGUCAAACUCGAGGGCUGUAGAGGCAGACGGAAUUCCGGGUGUAGCGGUGGAAUGCGUAGAGGAUCCGGAGGAACACCGGUGGCGAAGGCGGCAUCCUGGACCGAUACUGACGCUGAGGAGCGAAAGCCAGGGGAGCAAAGCGGGGAUUAAGAUGACCCUGUAGUA
rnacentral:rRNA from 1 species